rnacentral:rRNA from 1 species
GCAUAUCAAUAAGCGGAGGAAAAGAAACCAACAGGGAUUGCCCUAGUAACGGCGAGUGAAGCGGCAACAGCUCAAAUUUGAAAUCUGGCUCUCUUUGGGGGUCCGAGUUGUAAUUUGCAGAGGAUGCUUUGGCAUUGGCGGCGGUCUAAGUUCCUUGGAACAGGACAUCGCAGAGGGUGAGAAUCCCGUACGUGGGCGCCUGCCUUUGCCGUGUAAAGCUCCUUCGACGAGUCGAGUUGUUUGGGAAUGCAGCUCUAAAUGGGAGGUAAAUUUCUUCUAAAGCUAAAUACCGGCCAGAGACCGAUAGCGCACAAGUAGAGUGAUCGAAAGAUGAAAAGUACUUUGGAAAGAGAGUCAAAAAGCACGUGAAAUUGUUGAAAGGGAAGCGCUUGCAGCCAGACUUGCCCGCAGUUGCUCACCUAGGCUUUGGCCUGGGGCACUCUUCUGCGGGCAGGCCAGCAUCAGUUUGGGCGGUCGGACAAAGGCCUCUGUCAAGUAUCUCCCUUCGGGGUGACCUUAUAGGGGAGGCGUAAUGCGACCAGCCCGGACUGAGGUCCGCGCAUCUGCUAGGAUGCUGGCGUAAUGGCUGUAAGCGGCCCGUCUUGAAACACGGACCAAGGAGUCUAACAUCUAUGCGAGUGUUUGGGUGUCAAGCCCGGGCGCGCAAUGAAAGUGAACGGAGGUGGGAACCCUUUGGGUGCACCAUCGACCGAUCCUGAUGUCUUCGGAUGGAUUUGAGUAAGAGCAUAGCUGUUGGGACCCGAAAGAUGGUGAACUAUGCUUGAAUAGGGUGAAGCCAGAGGAAACUCUGGUGGAGGCUCGCAGCGGUUCUGACGUGCAAAUCGAUCGUCAAAUUUGGGCAUACGGGCGAAAGACUAAUCGAACCAUCUAGUAGCUGGUUCCUGCCGA